ensembl:lncRNA
GUUGGUCCUUCCAGUUGUGGCACGUGGGAUGCUGCCUCAGCAUGGCUUGAUGAGCGGUGCCAUGUCCACACCCAGGACUCAAACUAGCAAAACCCUGGGCCAAUGAAGAGGAGCGCGCAAACUCAACCACUUGGCCACUGGGCCAGCCCCCAUGUCUGCAGUUUUUAAAAUUAACCAGCCCAAAAUAAUCCUCAUGCUAAAGAGACGUAUCUUGGGGUGGCCAAUUCCAGUCCCCCACAGUUCUCUGUGUCUUCAUGGGAGGUCUCUGUCAGGUCAGGGAGAUCUCUGAAAUCAAGGGAGUUCUCUGAGUUCAAGGGAGGCUUCUGCGAGGGGAUGUGAGGUCUCCGAGGUCAGCGGAGGUCUGUGUGUUGUCAGAGGAAUUCUCUGUGAGGUCAGAGGAGAUAUCUAUGAUAUAAGGGGAGGUUUCUGUGAGAUCAGGGUAGGUCUCUGUGAUGUAAGGGGAUGUCUCUCUGAGGUCAGGGUUGUCUCUCUGAGGUCAGAGAGGUCUCUUGAUGUCAGCUGUGGCUUCUGUGAGGUCAGGGAGUACUCUGUGGGGUCAGAGGUGGUUUCUGUGGGGUCAUGGGAGUUCUCGGUGAGGUCUUGGGAGGUCUCUGUGUUUCAGAAGUUGUCUUUGUGAGGGCAGGGGAGGUCUCAAUGAGGUCAGAGGGGCUUUCUGUGAGUUAGGGGGAGGUCUCUUUGUGGCCAGAUAGUGUGUCUAUGAAGUCAAGUAAAGUCUCUGUGAGGUAGGAGAGGUCUCUGUGAAGUCAAGGAUGUCUCUGUGAAGUAAGGGAUAUCUCUGUGAGGUCAGAGGGGCUGUCUCUCAGGUCAGGGUAGGUCUGUGAGGACAGAGAUAUGUCUCUGAUGGUAGGCAAGGUCUCUGUGAGAGAAGGGAGGCCUAUCUGAUGUCUGGGGAGAUUUCUGUGAGAUCUGGGUGUUUCUCAGAUGGCAGAGACGUCUCUGUGAGGUCAGGAGAGACCUCUGUGAUUUCAAGGAGGUCUCUGUGAGGUCAGAGGUCUCUGUGAGAUUAGAUCUUGUCACAGUGAGAUCAGAGAGCAUGUUGUGAUGUCAGGGGAGGUCUCUGUGAAGUCAGACCAAGUUCUGUGUGGCAAGAUCAGCUCUCUGUGAGGUCAGAGUGGGUAUCUGUGAGGUCAUGGGAGGUCUCUGAGAUCAAGGAGAUCUCUGUGAGUUCAGGCAGGCCUCUGUGAGUUCAGGGGAGGUCUAUGUGACAUCAGGGGACGUCUCUAUGAGAUAAAAGUGGGUCUCUAUGGGUCAGGGAAGGUCUCUGUGAGGUCAGAGGGUGUCUUUCUGAGGUCAGGAGAGGUCCUCAAAGACAGGGAGGCAUCUGUGAUGUCAGGCAAGGUCUCUGUGAGACAGGGGAGGUCUAUUCCAGGUCAGGGGAGGUUUCUGUGAGAUCAGAGAAUGUCUCAGAGGGCAGGGAGGUCUCUGUGUGUUCAGAGAAUGUCUCUGUGAGGUUGGAGAGGUCUCUUUGAGGAUAAAGAUGGUCUCUUUGAGGUCACUGGAGGUCUCUGUGAGGUCACAUGAGGUCUCUGUGAGGUCAGAGGGGUCUCUAUGAGGUCAGCGGAGGAUGUGACAUCAGAGUAGGUCUCUUUGAGGUCAUAGGAGGGCCCUUUGAGGACAGAAGGGGGUCUCUGUGAGGUCUUGGUAGGUCUCUGUGAGGUGAGAGGGUUUCUUUGUGAAGUCAGGGGAGAUCCAGGUGAGGUCAGAUGGGGUGUCUCUGAGGUCAGGCGAGGGCUCUGUGAGGUCAGGAGAGGUCUCUCUGAGUUCAGAGGGCAUCUCUUAGAUUAGGGGAGGUCUCUGUGAGGUAUGAAGAUCCCUCUCCCCACCACUGCCAAGACAAUCAACCUCCCUUGGGACACAGGGCAUGGCUAGCAAGGACCCAGAUGAAGCAGGCACUACCUCCCAUGUCGGGCACAUGACACACCCAGGGGCUCCCUCCCCCAGCAGGGCCAAUGACACCUCCCAGAAAACCUUCAGGACUCAGGGCCCUUUCCUCUGUCCUUGCCCCACUGACAGAGUCUUGGCCCAAAUAAGUGGGACAGUCAGCCUCCUUUGGGUAUAUCAGGCAAGCCCUAGGGUGGUCUCCCUCCGCCCCUCCUCGGUGGACUCAGGGAGAGGGCCAGGAGAGGGCUUCUCUCAGCCCUUCUUGUCAGGUAUCUCCCAAGGGGAGCACCCUAGGCGGAAGGAAUGCGGGCUUUCCUCAGUCCAGAGUGGAGGAUGGGAACCGCUGAUGGAAGAGCAUGCCUGUGGGUUUCCCCUUCGUUCCCUGGGUGGCAUGCCUGUGCUGCCACACUCCUUUGGCAAGCCUUUCUCAGCCUUCUGACUUGACACAGCUUUCCCAACUCCUGGGGAAGAAAGGUUCAUUUGUGAUGAGAGGCUGUGUUUUUUCCAGCAAUAAGUGAGGAUGGGGAUGAACCAGCUGACACAGGGAGAGUCUUGCUGCCCUUCUGGGUCAGUUGGGAGCAAACAGGGCCAGAAAACCUCUUCCAAGGAGGAAAGCAGCUACCUGAGCAGAGAGGGGAAGGGGUCAUGAGAAGCCCUGAAGGAAAUGGGAACCCGAGUUCCCUGGCAGCUGCACGGGGCCUUCGCCAGAGGGUGCCCCCACCCCGCCAGAUCCCCCGGACCCAGUGCGGGGCUCCCAGCGAGGCCAGAGGCCGGACCCCUCCCUCCCACCCGUGCAUGCACAGUGGGAGGAAUGGUCCUCAGGCCAGGGAGCAGGGCUCCCACAGUCGUGAGAGUCAGUCAGAACCGUAGGUCAGGUCGGGGAGGUAGAGAGGCCAUGGGUGCACCUGCCCUCCUCUCCUCAGGUCCCCAAGAUUCUGGAUGCCCAGGUGGCAGCCGACGAAGCCAAUGUCCAGCCGUCCCUACAGGUUUUUCUCCCACCGCUGCCCUGCAAGGCGCAGGGAAGGCCAGACAGGGUGCUGAAAGGCAGUUUCCAGGCGUCAUCCGUGGCCUCCAACCUGGAUCUGGGUGCAGGAGGAUAGCAUCCGACGGGGAAGGCGGGGCAUGACAAAAUCCGUGCGGAAGAUCCCCGAGGGCCGCUCCUGGAGACGAUGAUGCUGGCCACCACCCAUCUCGACCUUGAGGCGGCUCC